AGGGGAGUAACAUGUCCUUGUGCUGGGAAUGGAAUAAUCAGCACAUGAGGUCGCCUGCCCAUGGUUGCUGCCAACAUGUCCACACACUUCUGCUUCGUCUGAUCCGAAGUUUCAGGAUUAAUACCGAUUCUCUUUAUUAGCCUGAGCCCUCUAUUGUGUGAAUCGUAUACCUAUUUGCAAAAAUUUUAGCUGCAGCCCAUCUCUUACACAUGAACUUCAUACAUUAUCUGAAAGAUAUGGUGUUGUGGCUCAAAUUCUUUGGCACUUGGCUUUUAUCUCCUAUCUAUUCUGUCUUUAUCAAGUGUCUUGCGUGUCUCUCCCGUUACUUUGGUGUAAUUUUAAAGCUAUAUUGCACUGAUAAACUUUUGGUUUCUACAUUACACACUCCAUAUAUGCAUUAAACUUUUUGUUAGUGCAGUCAUUGGAUUGUAGCCAUUUUUUCUACUUGGUUUUUCCACCAAGUUAUUGAUACCCUAUGGAUUUAUUCUCAAGUGCUUCAAGGUAUAUUAUCAGAAGUUACCAUUGGUUGUUUGCUUUGUCUUUUAUCUAGCUAGAACCUCAUAUGUAGCUAGCCUCUUUUUGUUGUUGCAUGAUUGGUUUGAGCUCUUCCUUCUUAUCCCAUGUGUUUGUUGACCAAGCUUGUAUUGAUGUUGAACCUGAUUGAUGCUAGUAGCAAGGGAAAUGAAAAUUUGGACAAUGGCUAGAUUUCACCUUAAUAAUAUCACUCUCAAAUGCUUCUACAUAAUUCCCAAAUACUUUAGCAUAUAUUCUAGCUAGGGAAGUGAUCUCUAGUUUUUUUCUGUCCUUUAUGGAGGGUCUUAAGCAGCCAGCCUCGUUUUCUAGUUGUAUGGCUUUUAGUUCUUGGUUCUUUUCCCAUAUAUUGGUCUUUUUCUCUAUCUUAUAUGCCUUCAAAUGAUCCCAUUUUCCUCUGGGUUCAGCCCUAAACCCACCUUUGUACAUCACAGAUACGGAAGUGGUCGCCAAGGUAAGGACAAACCUUCACCAUUCAGUUCCAAGCAGAGUGGAUUAAGAAACCAGCAAGGACAAACCCUUGGCAUUGAUUCACUCAGCCGGUGGCAGAGCCAAGAAUUUUUCUCAGAACAAGCAUUACAAUAACCCUGGAUGAAUUUUAGAAAUUGCUGAAAAUGAGUAACUUUAGACUUUAGUCAUGAAUAAAUAUAACAUAUCAAAUUAAAAAUUAAAAUUAGAUUUUAUUAACUUACUAGUUAAAAAUUGAAAUUUAAAAAGAAAAUUUUCAAAAAGUUAAAAAAUGGUAAGAAAAUAAGAAAUCUUACUAGUUAUUUCUCAAUAAUUUUAAUAAUCUCUUCCUAGUAAAAAGGUUCUUUAAAAAAUUUAUUUUUUUCCCAAACAGCUACAUAUAAAUGAGUUGGAAGUAAUAAAAUAUUUUAUUAAUAUUUUCCUAUGAUAUAGUAAGAUGUUAAAAUUCCAAGUAAAAUAUAAAUAGUUAGUUAGAGUUUGAUAUUUAUUAUUAUGUAUUAAGGUACCCUAUUCUAACAAAAUUCUAGAGCACCCAAGAGGUAUUGUUUAGAAGAUUUACUAGUAAUAAUUGGAUUUCUGAUUUCAAUCUUCAUAAAGUAAUAGCAAGAACCAAAACUAAUAAAAAGAACUUGAUUAUAAGGUUUUGGUUAACAAUUUUUUUUUCCAAAUAUUAUGAGGUCUAUGCUACAUAUUUUUUGAGAUGACAUUUAAAACCAUUCAAGUACAAUUGAAUUUGUUUGGGUGAAUAAUAACAUUAAAGGAUGUACUUCGAGUUUAUUGUAUGAUGAAACCCUUUUGAGCAGAAAAAAAAAAAAACCAAUUUUGCAUAUGAGUGUAUGCUUGAGACUAUUUCUGUAUAUAUUUGUCAUUUUUUAUUUGUGUUAUUGGUUGAGCUCGCCAGGGUUUUCAAAGUAUAAAUACACCUUAUUUUGUCAAAUAUUUUAAAUACUUGUUUCAUGUAAACUUAUGUAUUUGCUCUUUGGUAUUUAAUGAAUUUGCUUUGUUAGUGUCAAAUUGGGUUUGUGUUUUAUAUUUGUUGAGUUUUUAGUAGAAUGUAAGAGUGAUAUAUUUAUAGAGCUUAAAGUAAACUCUAUGGGUGAUUUUCUGUGUAAUACAUAUCUUUUGUGCGGUUGGAAUUCAUGCAUGUUAAUAUCUAAAUAUCUCAUAUUAAUUCAAGAAAUAUUUUUGUGAAAAAAUUGAACUUUAAGACAUAAAAUCAUUAUUACCUAUGCACCCUCCAUAAAUCUCAAGAAUCAAGAUUCAUACUUUCAAUUGGUAUAGAAGCAUGUUGAAUUUAAAAAAUUAAAAUCUUUUAUUCCUACACAAUCUUGAUUCAUGGAACCACAGUGACCAGAUCAUCAAUGAAAUUUUUAUCAUUGCUUUAUUUGACAAUUUCUGUGGCUAGGAAUACAACUUGAGUAGGUUGGGUUGGGUUGAUGACGAUUUAACAUUUAACACAUUUGGAUAUGGUAGCAUUGGAAAAUAUCUUCAUUGUUUCAGUGCUUCAACAAAGGUUUGGAAAUUCUUGUAAGAAGAUCCACCUUCAAUCACACUUUUUCUAGCCAUUUCCUUCAACUUCUCUGCAUUUGCUUUUAUACCAUCAUCAGAAACCAACUUUUCAAUCUUCUUCUUAAUCUCAUGCCUUGAUAUGAAUCCAUUUUCAUCUGGGUUCAAUUCCAAGCCCACCUUCCAUUUGUCGCAUAUGUAACUCUGGUUAUGGAAUUGAUCUGCAAAGUAGGGCCAGCAUAGGAAGGGGACUCCCAUGCCUAUGCCGUCCAUGGUUGAGUUCCAUCCACAAUGGGAUAAGAAACAGGCAACAGAAGGGUGAGCUAACACCUCUUUUUUUCAUUUUUAAAUCCAAGAUAGAUGCAUUUUGCACGGAAAUGAUGUUGUUUCGCUUGGGUAAAAAUCUCCCUUUUCAAGCCCUAACCCCUCUCCCCUUUGCCCCCAUGCCCAACCGUUCCUUGCCCUCUCCAGGAGCCUUCCUCAGCCCCCCACCUUCGGCACCUCUAGCCAGCAGGCUUGCGCCGACACAGACGCCAAUGGAAGACAGUGACGCCGAUGGACGAAUGCGACGUCGACGAUUUACUAUUUAAAUAUUUAUCAUUUGAUUUAUCUAAUUAUUUUAUUUGAUAUUUGUAUCAUUUUUAAUUUCUAAUUUUUUUAAAUUUUGAUUUUUAAAUAUGGGAUUUUAUAUUUAUGAUUUUAAUUUUUAAAUUUAUGAAUUUAAAUUUCUUAAUUUCGAUUUAAAUCAUUUGAAAAUAAAUUUUUGGUUUAAAAAUAAGUUUUUGGUUUAAAAAUAAUUUAAAUUUUUUUAAUUUUAAAAUAAAUAUAUGAUUUUCAAAUAAAUUCUGAUUUUAUAAAUUUGUGAUUUUAUAUUUAUGAAUUUAAAUUUCUGAAUUUGAUUUGAAUCAUCUUAUUCAUUUAAGAAUAAAUUUUUUAUUUUAAAAUAAGUUUUUGAUUUAAAAAUAAAUUUUAAAUUUUAUGAUCUUAAAAUAAAUAUCUAAUUUUCAAAUAUAUUUUCUAUUAUCAAACAUAUUUUUGACUUUUAAAUAAAUAUAUGAUUUUAUAAAAAAAUUAUGAUUUUUUAAAAUUAUAAUGUUUUGAAUUUAUGUUUUCAAUUAUCAAUUGAAUUUAUGAUAUUAUUAUUAUUUUUUAUCAUUUUUUUAUUUUAAUAAUAUAUGUACACUAUAUAUUAUAUAUUUAUGAUGUCACCUAUUCAAUCGCGGUUCAACACCAUUUCAAUUCAUGAUGCAUGAACCAAUAACUUUUCUAAUUUAAAGACUGAUCAAAAUAUUGAUUAAUAUUAUAUAAAUUGAAUUUAUAACAUUUUUAUAAAUUAAAAUAUAAAAAUUAUUUUUAAAAAUAACUUGCCAAACGCCCCUAUUUUUAUAAAAUACUAAAAAUUUAUUUUUUGCUCUUUUAACUUAAUAACAGUUUUUAAAGACAAACAUUACAAAACAUGGCUAAACGGCCCUUAGCUCCUAGGUUUCAGCAAAAGAUUCAAAACAACUCCAUCUUGUGGCCUCCGUCAACAUGUUUUGUUGCCCAAUUUUUGUGUAAGCUCUAAAUAAUGCUGCUUUCGAUUUUCAAUUGCUCUGUUCGUGCACUUUUUUUUAUAUGUUGCCAUGUAGACAACAGUAUAGUUCUUGAUCCCCCAAUCGUACAUAAUUCUUUGCUCCGCUACUAAUGCAUUACAUCAAAAUCUGUCUUUAAUUAACUCUACCCAUGAUUUUUGUUCACUAAGAUCACAUACCAACCCCUGCACUUGCAUACACAGCAUGAAUGCACUCGCUUUUAUUGAGAGAAUGGUUUCACACAUUUGAAUGUGGCAACAUUGGGAAGCAUCUUCAGUGUUUCAUUGCUUCAAUAAAGGUUUUGAAAUUCUUGUAAGAAGAUCCGCCUUCGCUUACACUCUUUCUAGUCAUUUCCUUCAACUUCUCUGCAUUUGCUUUUAUGCCAUCAUCAGAGACCAACUUUUCAAUCUUCAUCUUAAUCUCAUGCCUCGAUAUGAGUCCAUUUUCAUCUGGGUUCAAUCCCAAGCCCACCUUCCAUUUGUCGCAUAUGUAAUUCUGGUCAAGGAAUUGAUCUACAACGUAGGGCCAGCACAGGAAGGGGACUCCCAUGCUUAUGCUGUCCAUGGUUGAGUUCCAACCACAAUGGGAAAAGAAGCAUGCAACAGAAGGGUGAGCUAAAACCUCUUCUUGGGGUGCCCACGAGACAAUCUUUCCAUGGUCAGCUACUCUCUCAAUGAAACCAUCAGGGUAUUCAGCAGCUGAUCCAUCGGUGAAGUCUGAUCGGACAACCCAUAAAAAUGGUCGGCCUACAAGUUCAAUACCAAGUGCUAAUUCAUUGAAUUGGUGCUGGGUUAAGUUUCCGGUGCUGCCAAAAGCAACAUAAAUGACUGAGCCAGCAGGUUGUUUAUCGAGCCAGCCUAUGCAAGUUGAAUCCUCAGGCCAAAAGUUUGCAGCAUAAUGACCCGGAUCACUACUUGCAGGUAACGGGCCAAUUGGUAAUAAGUUAGGAAUCAAGUCACAAGCAGAUGAGUCAAGUUCGUAAACACAGUUGCAAGGAAGCCUCUUGGAAGAAUCCAUAAAUUGAAUAGAUGUGAGAUAAAUUCGGAAAACCCACUCUUGUACCUUCAGAUCAAUUGGCCACUUCCAGGGCAAGCCGUUGCAGCUCAAGACUGGAAUACCCUUCGACACGCAGAUCAACUCAUCUUUCAGAGGAGUUCCUGCAGAGAUAUUUGAAUCAUUUCUAUCAAAACCAAGAAAUUUCUUAGACAACAAGUUAAUUUUAGAAAUAUGAUAUAAAUUAACAAGUUGAAGCCUUAAUACCAUCAGUACUAUUUACGAUUCCACUCAAUUAACUUUGGAAUAUGAAGUGCCAAAGCCCAGAUUCCUGCUCCCAUAGGACAAAAAAGGACCCCUUCGAUUCCCAUCUUCUCUGCCACCUCCAUUGGCCACCGCUCAAGUGUUAUGUCAGCAAUAACACAAGUGAUCUGCUCAUCAUCAUUCGAGCGGUUGACUUUCUCAAUUAAAUCCUUCAAAUGACCCGGCAUGACUCUUGAACUACUUUCUGUUAUCUUGAGCAAGUUUUUCCGAUCGUCCCCUGGAUCCAGACCAUCUGGGAUAGAGACUAGCCCUAUCCCACUCUGAGCCUCAGCCUCAUGUGGGAGUGCAGCCAGCAGUUUAGCAUGUAUGAAGUCAGAGUUAACAAAGGUGACCUUGAUCCCGUGAUCAGAAAUCCGGUGUGCAAGCCUCAUAAGAGGAGCAACAUAUCCUUGCGCUGGGAGUGGUAUAAUCAGCACAUGAGGUCGCCUGCCCAUGGUCCUUGCUAACUUGCCAACACUUCCACCCUUCUCUUUGCUCUGAUCCCAAGCUUCACUAAUAUUGAUACUAUUUUAUUUGCCUAAGCCCUCCUUGGAACUGCAUUUAUGAAUUUUAUACCUAUUGUCCUCCUAAUUGAGGUGCAAAACUUUUUUCCCUUUCAAAAAACAAAGGGAAUAUGAAGUCCUUGCUAGCUUUUUUAACAAUGAAAACUAGUGGAAGUUCACCGACACU
rnacentral:lncRNA from 1 species